GAACGUUGGCGGCGUGCCUAAUACAUGCAAGUCGAGCGAACGGACGAGAAGCUUGCUUCUCUGAUGUUAGCGGCGGACGGGUGAGUAACACGUGGAUAACCUACCUAUAAGACUGGGAUAACUUCGGGAAACCGGAGCUAAUACCGGAUAAUAUUUUGAACCGCAUGGUUCAAAAGUGAAAGACGGUCUUGCUGUCACUUAUAGAUGGAUCCGCGCUGCAUUAGCUAGUUGGUAAGGUAACGGCUUACCAAGGCAACGAUGCAUAGCCGACCUGAGAGGGUGAUCGGCCACACUGGAACUGAGACACGGUCCAGACUCCUACGGGAGGCAGCAGUAGGGAAUCUUCCGCAAUGGGCGAAAGCCUGACGGAGCAACGCCGCGUGAGUGAUGAAGGUCUUCGGAUCGUAAAACUCUGUUAUUAGGGAAGAACAUAUGUGUAAGUAACUGUGCACAUCUUGACGGUACCUAAUCAGAAAGCCACGGCUAACUACGUGCCAGCAGCCGCGGUAAUACGUAGGUGGCAAGCGUUAUCCGGAAUUAUUGGGCGUAAAGCGCGCGUAGGCGGUUUUUUAAGUCUGAUGUGAAAGCCCACGGCUCAACCCGUGGAGGGUCAUUGGAAACUGGAAAACUUGAGUGCAGAAGAGGAAAGUGGAAUUCCAUGUGUAGCGGUGAAAUGCGCAGAGAUAUGGAGGAACACCAGUGGCGAAGGCGACUUUCUGGUCUGUAACUGACGCUGAUGUGCGAAAGCGUGGGGAUCAAACAGGAUUAGAUACCCUGGUAGUCCACGCCGUAAACGAUGAGUGCUAAGUGUUAGGGGGUUUCCGCCCCUUAGUGCUGCAGCUAACGCAUUAAGCACUCCGCCUGGGGAGUACGACCGCAAGGUUGAAACUCAAAGGAAUUGACGGGGACCCGCACAAGCGGUGGAGCAUGUGGUUUAAUUCGAAGCAACGCGAAGAACCUUACCAAAUCUUGACAUCCUUUGACAACUCUAGAGAUAGAGCCUUCCCCUUCGGGGGACAAAGUGACAGGUGGUGCAUGGUUGUCGUCAGCUCGUGUCGUGAGAUGUUGGGUUAAGUCCCGCAACGAGCGCAACCCUUAAGCUUAGUUGCCAUCAUUAAGUUGGGCACUCUAAGUUGACUGCCGGUGACAAACCGGAGGAAGGUGGGGAUGACGUCAAAUCAUCAUGCCCCUUAUGAUUUGGGCUACACACGUGCUACAAUGGACAAUACAAAGGGCAGCGAAACCGCGAGGUCAAGCAAAUCCCAUAAAGUUGUUCUCAGUUCGGAUUGUAGUCUGCAACUCGACUACAUGAAGCUGGAAUCGCUAGUAAUCGUAGAUCAGCAUGCUACGGUGAAUACGUUCCCGGGUCU
rnacentral:rRNA from 1 species